AUUGAACGCUGGCGGCAUGCCUUACACAUGCAAGUCGAACGGCAGCACGGGAGCAAUCCUGGUGGCGAGUGGCGAACGGGUGAGUAAUAUAUCGGAACGUGCCCAGUGAUGGGGGAUAGCCCGGCGAAAGCCGGAUUAAUACCGCAUACGACCUACGGGUGAAAGCAGGGGAUCGCAAGACCUUGCGUCAUUGGAGCGGCCGAUAUCAGAUUAGCUUGNGGUGGGGUAAAAGCCUACCAAGGCGACGAUCUGUAGCUGGUCUGAGAGGACGACCAGCCACACUGGGACUGAGACACGGCCCAGACUCCUACGGAGGCAGCAGUGGGGAAUUUUGGGCAAUGGGCGAAAGCCUGACCCAGCAACGCCGCGUGAAGGAUGAAGUCUUUCGGGA
rnacentral:rRNA from 1 species